GAGUAAGGUAAAGUGAGGUAGAGUGUGAGAAUAAGGUAGAGUGAGGAAGAGUGAGAGAGUAAGGUAAAGUGAGGUAGAGUGUGAGAGUAAGGUAGACUGAGAGAGUAAGGCAGAGUGAGAAAGAGUGAGAGAGUAAGGUAGAGUGAGAGAGUAAGGUAGAGUGAGGUAGAGUGAGAGAGUAAGGUAGAGUGAGGAAGAGUGAGAGAGUAAGGUAAAGUGAGGUAGAGUGUGAGAGUAAGGUAGACUGAGAGAGUAAGGCAGAGUGAGAAAGAGUGAGAGAGUAAGGUAGAGUGAGAGAGUAAGGUAGAGUGAGGUAGAGUGAGAGAGUAAGGUAGAGUGAGGAAGAGUGAGAGAGUAAGGUAAAGUGAGGUAGAGUGUGAGAGUAAGGUAGAGUGAGGAAGAGUGAGAGAGUAAGGUAAAGUGAGGUAGAGUGUGAGAGUAAGGCAGAGUUAAAAAGAGUGAGAGAGUAAGAUAGAGUGAGAGAGUAAGGUAGAGUGAGAGAGUAAGGCAGAGUGAGAAAGAGUGAGAGAGUAAGAUAGAGUGAGAGAGUAAGGUAGAGUGAGAGAGUAAGGUAGAGUGAGAGAGUAAGGUAGAGUGAGAGAGUGAGGUAGAGUGAG